AAUACAACAACCUUCCAGGCUUCAGCGACGCGACGGCGGAUGUCCGCGCCGCGAUUUUUGACGAGGCCGCCAAGUUCGCCGAGCAGGUGCUUCAUCCGCUGAACCAUAGCGGCGACCUCGAAGGCUGCACGCGCCACGACGAUGGCCGUGUCACGACGCCCAAGGGAUUCAAGGAAGCGUUCAAGCAAUUCGCCGAUGGCGGCUGGAUCGGUCUGGCGGCUCCGCAG
rnacentral:misc_RNA from 1 species